UACAGAGGGUGCGAGCGUUGCUCGGAAUUACUGGGCGUAAAGCGCACGUAGGCGGAUCUUUGAGUCAGGGGUGAAAUCCUGGAGCUCAACUCCAGAACUGCCUUUGAUACUGAGGGUCUUGAGUUCGGGAGAGGUGAGUGGAACUGCGAGUGUAGAGGUGAAAUUCGUAGAUAUUCGCAAGAACACCAGUGGCGAAGGCGGCUCACUGGCCCGAUACUGACGCUGAGGUGCGAAAGCGUGGGGAGCAAACAGG
rnacentral:rRNA from 1 species